GGCCAAACAACUGGAAACAGAAGGAAACCAAAGAAACUCCCAUCACAAAGCUCACAGCAUUUAAACACAGAGUUUUAAAACUUGCUGUGCUAAGAAAGAAGAAAUGAUAGAACUGAAAAUUACAUCAACAAUCUGAACCUAUCAUCUUACAAACUGAGAACGCUCUGUACAAUACGUUAUGCCUCCUGGAAUGUCAGAGUUGCAGCAGGAAGCUCAGACUACGUACCUGGAUAGAGCUGUCAUCCAAUUUUUCUGUACCAACUUCAGUAACACUUAACUGAAGGCGGUAAAGCUUUGGCUUAUCUCUAGAGUCAGAACCAUCUGCAAGAAGAGAAGGAAGACAACUGUAUCUGCAAAGUCUAAUAUUAUUGUCAUGUUAUUUCAAACAAACAAAAAGUUAUCUCAGGCAUUACAGCUCUCACUUCUCAGGAUUUCUUUUCAAAGAAUUCUCCAAACUAUGUAACACAAUUUAACAAAUUGGAUACAGAAAAUUCAAAAUAAGAAAUAAAUGUAUCAGUUUCUGGCAUUAAUUCCACCACAUUCUUAUUACAUUAAAUAAAGUCUUCUCUACCACUG